AUCUCCGACACCGGAAGCAGCGGCCUUCUCCUCACGGCGCCGGCGGGCGCGGGGACCACCGCCAUAUUGGAUCACGGAGCCGCAGCGGACAGAAUCAGUUUCAAAAGGACCUUGAUAUAUCUGCUUCCCUAGAAAGCUGCUUCUAAGCAAGUCAACUUCAGCAACAGCCGCACACACCAGCAAAAGCAACAACUUUCAUUUUGCAACGUGUAUGACCUUUGGGCAGUCACUUCAACUCAUUGUGCCAGCUUCCUUAUAAUAGAGGUGGCCCUGAAGACUCCCUUAAAGCUGGCAUGGGAAACAGCAAGCAUGAGUCAGAUAAGAUUGUACUUAUUUAAAAAUAUUAAUGUUGCAAGUUUAAGUAUUUUAACUUGAGCUAAGUUUACUACCAGGACUUCUGAGGAAGAAGAUUGGGAUAAUGACUCCAAUCUUUCUGAAAUGGUUAGAGAAGGGGAUUCUGCUUAUGCAAGCAAAAACACACCCAUUGAAACAGUCCUGAAUUAGAAUAUGGGGAAGAUGACCCUUUAAACUAUUCUCCUGACCUGAAGAGCUUUGUGUAAACUUGAAAACCUGUCUCUUUCACCAACAGAAGUUGAUCCAAUAAGAAAGCUGAGCACUAUUGCUCAGCUUGUUAGUGCCUUCAAGGAUUGAUUCUACAAACAUCCUCACACAUUUGAUGAUGAGAGUUUGAAACCUGGAAAUGCCUAUCAAAGCAAGAUUUAUAUAUUGCAUAACAAGCAGGGUGUUCCAGUCUUUUUAAAAGUGCAAGUAUGUAGCAAGAGGAAAGUCUAUACAAUCCGGAGGACAAUGCUGCAGUGCAGCUCAAUUACUGACUAUUCACCAUCCCAUUGAGCUGCUAAACUUUCAGUGUCGCAGGGAGGAAAAUGGGGAGCAAUUGUUUUUUGAAAAUUCCUCAUGUUACAAGCAGAGUAGACUCUCACCUGAAAAGGAAAUAUGUUGUCGGCUCUGUUCAAACUAUCUUCCAUCCAAGAUUUUGGAGCAAAGGCCGAGCUAGGCCUAGCAUACUUCUGCAACUGGAUAUGAUUACUUGCAAAAUUCUUCUUCAGGGGUGAGAUGGAGUUCAGGGGUGUUAUCCCUCCAUUCAGUCCCCUGCGGUGGUCUCGCCCUUGGGACCCUCCCCACCCACCAUAUCCACCGCCACCGGGGCUCCAUGAAGAAGAUGGUGUAGGUGAUGGGCUUUGGUAGCUGCUCCAUGGAGAAGGUGGUUUGUUAAGAUUAUUAGCCAAAUGAGGCAGUUGAUUAAAAGCAGCAUUUCUAUGUGUAAAUGGAGGUGGAUGAGGGCUUGCAGGCGAUCUUCUCUGUUGCUGAUGCUGAUUGUGAUGAUGCUGAAAAUGGGGGUGAUGAGGGUGGUGUUGAGAGAGGGGUCCAAUCUGAGGGGAAAAGCUACCUCCAAAGCCAGGGCUGACAUGAUGUGGAAAAUUCUGAAAUAGCAGAGCACCAUUAUUAGCUGAGGCAGCAGGGACCCCUCCCUGGUGAAAAAAACUGGCAUCUUCAUUGAUUAUUGUAGAAGAAGAAGGAGCUACAGCUGCUGACCAGUUACUAAAACCAGUCAGAGAAGAUGCAGUGGAUGUUAAGGGCUGAGUUGAAGUACCUAGCCCUGAAGCCUCUUGAUAAUCAAAUCCUGUUAACACUGGUGAUUCUAUUCUUAUUUUCUCUUUCCCGUUGCCAUUCUCUGAAGAAUUGUCUCCCUGAUUUUCCUCAGAUUUAGCUUUCUCAGGUUCAGGCAGCAUGCCUGCUUCCUGACUUUGACUAGGGGAAAGCUGCUGUUUUUCUAGAGACUCUUGCUUUUCCUGUUGCUGAGUUUUAGAUUUUUCUGACCCCAGAAUCUCAUCCUGAAUGUUAUGGGCAGCUGGAGCAGGAAAGAGCCAAGCUGACCCAGCACUACUGCCAUUGGCAGCUGUGUUAUUACUUAUAAAAGCAGCAGGGCUGGGGGCUGCAUUUUGAUGAUGGUGUGGAGGCUGCAGAUGUGGGUGAAAUCUCACUGGAAAAGCUGACUUAUUCCCAGUGUUGUUUUGCACUAACACUCCAAACCCGUAAUCCCCCAUUUAUUAUAUUUAGGAUUUGAUUUUCUCCUGUAAAAAAACAACAACGAUGUUUAGUGUUUCUCUCCUCCUCCACCAAAGAGGAACUAGGAAAUAUCUUGUUUUAAUCUAGAUAUUCCAGUUUCUUCCUCCACACACUCCUUAGAUAUUUCUGAUUUGGAUAUAAGUUCUGGUUCUUUCAAAGAUAAAUCUCUUUAAAUUUUUAAGAUGUGUCAAUUUAUGUUUGUUUCCUUUCUCUGGUUAGAAAGAAAAGAAAAAUAAAUCUUUGGUUAGCAAAAUAAGAGGUUUCCUUUUCCUAAAGGAAAUGCACAUCAAUAAGAGAAAAAUCUUCUGGGGACAGAUAUAAAGAGAUUUUAACUAUCCUGUUUUUUUCCUCCUCAGCAGCCUUGACUCGGCCAUAAAUGAGUUAAGAGGAAAAGAGAAACAAUGACGUCUGGUCCCUCCACCUCUUGGCUGCAAAAAAAGAAAAAAAGAAAAGAAAGAAAUUUAAGUCUGGAAUAAUUUAAUAAAUUCUAUAUAAUCUAAUAUAUAUUUGUUUCCUGUUCAAAAGAGUCCUUGCUGUGGAUAUGGGAAGAUUUUACCUCAGGAUUUUAGCAUUCAGUGGGGGAGUGAAUUGUGCAGGAGGCUUUUUUUCCCUGCUGCUGCUCGGUAAGCCUUUAUUGUGUAUUCUAAUAAUAAAUAAUAAUAAUAAAUACUAUUUUGUAUGUGUCCUUUA